UACGAUCGCUGGCGGCAUGCCUAACACAUGCAAGUCGAACGAGACCUUCGGGUCUAGUGGCGCACGGGUGCGUAACGCGUGGGAAUCUGCCCAAAGGUUCGGAAUAACUCGGGGAAACCCGAGCUAAUGCCGGAUGAUGUCUUCGGACCAAAGAUUUAUCGCCUUUGGAUGAGCCCGCGUCGGAUUAGCUUGUUGGUGAGGUAAAAGCUCACCAAGGCGACGAUCCGUAGCUGGUCUGAGAGGAUGAUCAGCCACACUGGGACUGAGACGCGGCCCAGACUCCUACGGGAGGCAGCAGUGGGGAAUAUUGGACAAUGGGCGCAAGCCUGAUCCAGCAAUGCCGCGUGAGUGAUGAAGGCCUUAGGGUUGUAAAGCUCUUUUACCCGGGAUGAUAAUGACAGUACCGGGAGAAUAAGCCCCGGCUAACUCCGUGCCAGCAGCCGCGGUAAGUACGGAGGGGGCGUAGCGUUGUUCGGAAUUACUGGGCGUAAAGCGCACGU
rnacentral:rRNA from 1 species